rnacentral:rRNA from 1 species
GAUGAACGCUGGCGGCGUGCCUAAUACGUGCAAGUCGAGCGAAUGGAUUAAGAGCUUGCUCUUAUGAAGUUAGCGGCGGACGGGUGAGUAACACGUGGGUAACCUGCCCAUAAGACUGGGAUAACUCCGGGAAACCGGGGCUAAUACCGGAUAACAUUUUGAACCGCACGGUUCGAAAUUGAAAGGCGGCUUCGGCUGUCACUUAUGGAUGGACCCGCGUCGCAUUAGCUAGUUGGUGAGGUAACGGCUCACCAAGGCAACGAUGCGUAGCCGACCUGAGAGGGUGAUCGGCAACACUGGGACUGAGGCACGGCCCAGACUCCUACGGGAGGCAGCAGUAGGGAAUCUUCCGCAAUGGACGAAAGUCUGACGGAGCAACGCCGCGUGAGUGAUGGAGGCUUUCGGGUCGUAAAACUCUGUUGUUAGGGAAGAACAAGUGCUAGUUGAAUAAGCUGGCACCUUGACGGUACCUAACCAGAAAGCCACGGCUAACUACGUGCCAGCCGCCGCCGUAA